UUCCAGACUCCUACGGGAGGCAGCAGUGGGGAAUAUUGCACAAUGGGGGAAACCCUGAUGCAGCGACGCCGCGUGAGUGAAGAAGUAUUUCGGUAUGUAAAGCUCUAUCAGCAGGGAGGAAAAUGACGGUACCUGAUUAAGAAGCCCCGGCUAACUACGUGCCAGCAGCCGCGGUAAUACGUAGGGGGCAAGCGUUAUCCGGAUUUACUGGGUGUAAAGGGAGCGUAGACGGUGAUGCAAGUCAGAAGUGAAAGCCCGGGGCUCAACUCCGGGACUGCUUUUGAAACUGUGUAACUGGAGUGCAGGAGAGGUAAGCGGAAUUCCUGGUGUAGCGGUGAAAUGCGUAGAUAUCAGGAGGAACACCAGUGGCGAAGGCGGCUUACUGGACUGUAACUGACGUUGAGGCUCGAAAGCGUGGGGAGCAAACAGGAUUAGAUACCCUGGUAC
rnacentral:rRNA from 1 species